rnacentral:SRP_RNA from 1 species
GCUGGGCAUGGUGGCAUGUGCCUGUAGUCCCAGCUAAUCGGGAGGCUGGGACAGGAGGACCGCUUGAGCCUGGGAGUCCUGGGCUGUAGCGUGCUAUGCCAAUCCAGUCUCUACACUAAGUUCAGCAUCAAUAUGCUGAGCUCCCAGGAGUGGGGAACCACCAGGUUGCCUAAGGAGGGGUGAACUGGCCCAGGUCAGAAAUGGAACAGGUCAAAACUCCAAUGCUGAUCAGUAGUGAGAUUGCACGUGUGAAUAGCCACUGCACCCCAGCCUGGGCAACAUAACGAGACUCUGCCUCU